UACGUAGGGUGCGAGCGUUGUCCGGAAUUAUUGGGCGUAAAGAGCUCGUAGGCGGUUUUGUUGCGUCGGCCGUGAAAACCUGCAGCUUAACUGUGGGCCUGCGGCCGAUACGGGCAGACUUGAGUUCGGUAGGGGAGACUGGAAUUCCUGGUGUAGCGGUGAAAUGCGCAGAUAUCAGGAGGAACACCGGUGGCGAAGGCGGGUCUCUGGGACGGUACUGACGCUGAGACGCGAAAGCGUGGGGAGCGAACAGG
rnacentral:rRNA from 1 species